GUGGGGAAUUUUGGACAAUGGGCGCAAGCCUGAUCCAGCAAUGCCGCGUGUGUGAAGAAGGCCUUCGGGUUGUAAAGCACUUUUGGCAGGAAAGAAAUAGUGCGUGCUAAUACCAUGCGCGAAUGACGGUACCUGCAGAAUAAGCACCGGCUAACUACGUGCCAGCAGCCGCGGUAAGACGUAGGGUGCAAGCGUUAAUCGGAAUUACUGGGCGUAAAGCGUGCGCAGGCGGUUUUGUAAGACAGGUGUGAAAUCCCCGGGCUCAACCUGGGAACUGCACUUGUGACUGCAAGGCUAGAGUGUGUCAGAGGGAGGUGGAAUUCCGCGUGUAGCAGUGAAAUGCGUAGAGAUGCGGAGGAACACCGAUGGCGAAGGCAGCCUCCUGGGAUAACACUGACGCUCAGGCACGAAAGCGUGGGGAGCAAACAGGAUUAGAUACCCGGGUAGUCC
rnacentral:rRNA from 1 species